AACUCUUGGGAAACGGAUAUCUCGGCUCUCGCAUCGAUGAAGAACGUAGUGAAAUGCGAUACUUUGUGUGAAUUGCAGGAUCUCGUGAACCACCGAGUCUUUGAACGCAAGUUGCGCCCGGAGCCUUCUGGCCGAGGGCACGUCUGCCUGGGCGUCA